rnacentral:rRNA from 1 species
UACCCUACGGGAGGCAGCAGUAGGGAAUUUUCGUCAAUGGGCGCAAGCCUGAACGAGCAAUGCCGCGUGAACGAGGAAGGUCUUCGGAUCGUAAAGUUCUGUUGAAGGGGAAAAAGAGCGGAGAGAGGAAAUGGGCUCCGAUUGAUAUUACCCCUCGAGGAAGUCACGGCUAACUACGUGCCAGCAGCCGCGGUAAUACGUAGGUGGCGAGCGUUAUCCGGAAUGAUUGGGCGUAAAGGGUGCGUAGGCGGCCUGCUAAGCCUGGAGUGGAAGGCACCGGCUCAACCGGGACAUGCUCUGGGAAC